rnacentral:ncRNA from 2 species
UAUUUAAAGAAAAGAUAAGUAAAAUUUUAAGUAGAGGGAAACAAGUGAAAUUCUUGUACGGUCCCGCCACUGUAAUGAGGACGAAAGUACAUUAGCCACUGAGGAAUUGGGAAGGAGUACAAGUAGGUUGAAUCAAAGUCAGGAUAUCUCGCUUAAAAUAUUUAACUAU